rnacentral:rRNA from 1 species
UACGUAGGGUGCUAGCGUUGUCCGGAUUUAUUGGGCGUAAAGAGCGUGUAGGCGGCCAGGUAGGUCCGGUGUGAAAACUCGAGGCUUAACCUCGAGAUGUCAUCGGAAACCAUCUGGCUAGAGUCCGGAAGAGGAAAGUGGAAUUCCUGGUGUAGCGGUGAAAUGCGUAGAGAUGUGGAGGAACACCAGUGGCGAAGGCGACUCUUUGGUCUGUAACUGACGCUGAGGCGCGAAAGCGUGGGGAGCAAACAGG